rnacentral:rRNA from 1 species
GUUUGAUCAUGGCUCANAUUGAACGCUGGCGGCGUGCCUAACACAUGCAAGUCGAGCGGUAACAGGUGUAGCAAUACAUGCUGACNAGCGGCGGACGGGUGAGUAACGCUUGGGAAUCUGCCUGAUAGUGGGGGACAACCCGGGGAAACUCGGGCUAAUACCGCAUACGCACUACGGUGGAAAGNCGGGGACCGCNAGGNCUGGCGCUAUCANAUGAGCCCAAGUCGGAUUAGCUAGUUGGUAGGGUAACGGNCUACCAAGGCGACNAUCCGUAACUGGUCUGAGAGGACNACCANUCNCNCCGGAACUGAGACACGGUCCGGACUCCUACGGGAGGCAGCAGUGGGGAAUAUUGGACAAUGGGCGAAAGCCUGAUCCNGCGACGCCGCGUGGGUGAAGAAGGCCUGCGGGUUGUAAAGCCCUUUCNGUGGGGAAGAAAA